GAUCCUGGCUCAGGAUGAACGCUAGCUACAGGCUUAACACAUGCAAGUCGAGGGGCAGCGGGCAGAAAGCUUACUUUCUGUGCCGGCGACCGGCGCACGGGUGCGUAACGCGUAUCGAACCUACCACAUACUCAGGGAUAGCCUUGCGAAAGUAAGAUUAAUACCUGAUGUUGUUUAGUGUCCGCAUGGACAUUAAACCAAAGAUUUAUUGGUAUGUGAUGGCGAUGCGU
rnacentral:rRNA from 1 species